AUAUCAAUAAGCGGAGGAAAAGAAACCAACAGGGAUUGCCUCAGUAACGGCGAGUGAAGCGGCAACAGCUCAAAUUUGAAAUCUGGCCGCAAGGUCCGAGUUGUAAUUUGCAGAGGAUGCUUUUGGCGAGGUGCCUUCCGAGUUCCCUGGAACGGGACGCCAUAGAGGGUGAGAGCCCCGUACGGUAGGACCACCAAGCCUUUGUAAAGCUCCUUCGACGAGUCGAGUAGUUUGGGAAUGCUGCUCUAAAUGGGAGGUGUACGUCUUCUAAAGCUAAAUACCGGCCAGAGACCGAUAGCGCACAAGUAGAGUGAUCGAAAGAUGAAAAG
rnacentral:rRNA from 1 species